CUGGAGCUUGCUCCGGCCGUGAGAGUGGCGAACGGGUGAGUAAUGCGUGACCGACCUGCCCCAUACACCGGAAUAGCUCCUGGAAACGGGUGGUAAUGCCGGAUGCUCCGACAUGACGCAUGUCGUGUUGGGAAAGAUUCUAUCGGUAUGGGAUGGGGUCGCGUCCUAUCAGCUUGAUGGCGGGGUAACGGCCCACCAUGGCUUCGACGGGUAGCCGGCCUGAGAGGGCGACCGGCCACAUUGGGACUGAGAUACGGCCCAGACUCC
rnacentral:rRNA from 1 species